UACAGAGGUCCCGAGCGUUGUUCGGAUUCACUGGGCGUAAAGGGUGCGUAGGUGGUGCGGUAAGUCGGAUGUGAAAUCUCCAGGCUCAACCUGGAAACUGCAUUGGAAACUACCUUGCUGGAGGAUUUGAGGGGGGAUUGGAAUACUUGGUGUAGCAGUGAAAUGCGUAGAUAUCAAGUGGAACACCAGUGGCGAAGGCGAAUCCCUGGAAAAUACCUGACACUGAGGCACGAAAGCUAGGGGAGCAAACAGG
rnacentral:rRNA from 1 species